GUCCUACAAAGGAUAACUUAGCUAUCUUUCCUCGAAGAUAAGAUUUACAAGCUGGAUACGACUCUGAAUUAAGAGAGCCAAGGAUCCCAUCCUUCUUUAGUCUGUUUAUCCUAUCCUCUCCAAUAUGGUCUAGUCUAUGGUGCCACAAGUACUUCUGGUUAAUUUUUUCUAUGGAUCUCUUCUGGCCUAUGACACUUACUAUUUACUCAUUUAGGUUCACAUUCACAUUAACAUGCAAGUG
rnacentral:lncRNA from 1 species